AGAGUUGUUUCCUGCUGCUUGCAACCAACCAUUGACUGUACAUGUUUGGAAUGCACAGUCCCAAGUCCAUUUCCAAGUGUUGUCAGGAUACCUAGAUGACUACAGUCUGAAAUACGUUGCACAUGAGAAAAAUGUCUGUGCUUCCUGUGUAUCUGGGCCCAUGUUUCGACCAAAGUUGUUUGGACCAAGGACUGACAUCGGAUUCAAAAGCUAUCCUCUGUAGGCCAGACAGCAGCCCAUGAGAUGUCCUGAUACAAGUUUGCCAGAAAAGGAGCACCUUCUGCAG